rnacentral:rRNA from 1 species
ACGGAGGGUGCAAGCGUUAAUCGGAAUUACUGGGCGUAAAGCGCACGCAGGCGGUCUGUCAAGUCGGAUGUGAAAUCCCCGGGCUUAACCUGGGAACUGCAUUCGAAACUGGCAGGCUAGAGUCUUGUAGAGGGGGGUAGAAUUCCAGGUGUAGCGGUGAAAUGCGUAGAGAUCUGGAGGAAUACCGGUGGCGAAGGCGGCCCCCUGGACAAAGACUGACGCUCAGGUGCGAAAGCGUGGGGAGCAAACAG